ensembl:rRNA 5S_rRNA 5S ribosomal RNA
GUCUACGGCCCUACCACCCUGAACUCGCCCAGCCUCAUCAGAUCUCGGAAGCUAAGCAGCGUCAGGCCUGGUUAGUGCUUGGAGGGGAGAAUACUUAAGAUCUGCUCAGCUUAGAAUGCUGAGGUUUUAGGGG